UUACAAUCGUACCCCUCUCAACUCUAGAGCGACUGCGAGCGCGCCCACAGAUGUUUGUUUUCUGUAUUACUCUCUGAGUUUCCUUGACGUGUUGUUUGGUUCCCGUUCUGUAGUAUCUCACAAGUUUCCUUGACGGGAUGGGGAGCUCUGAGAAUUUGCAGAUGAAAAUCGUUAAUGGAGACGCUGGUUACGUGCUCCAAGAUGUCCCUCACCUCACCGAUUACAUCCCAGAUCUUCCUACUUAUCCGAAUCCGUUGCAAUUCAAUCCUGCUUACUCGGUGGUUAAGCAGUAUUUUGUUAAUUUGGAUGACACCGUCCCUGAGAAGAUUGUUGUUCACAAGACUAGCCCAAGAGGGAUACACUUUCGGCGUGCAGGCCCUCGCCAAAAGGUCUAUUUUGAAUCAGAAGAAGUGCAUGCGUGUAUUGUCACAUGUGGUGGUCUUUGCCCUGGACUCAACACCGUGAUCAGGGAAAUUGUUUGUGGUCUUUAUCACAUGUACGGUGUUACUAGAAUCCUCGGGAUCGAUGGAGGAUACAGGGGCUUCUAUGCUCGAAAUACCAUUACUUUAACACCCAAGGUUGUCGAUGAUAUCCAUAAACGUGGUGGUACCAUCCUUGGGACAUCGCGAGGGGGCCAUGAUACCUCGAAGAUAGUUGACAGCAUUCAGGAUCGUGGAAUUAAUCAGGUUUAUAUAAUUGGAGGAGAUGGAACUCAAAAAGGAGCAGCUGUCAUUUACAAGGAAAUUAGACGCCGUGGACUCAAAGUUGCAGUGGCUGGAAUUCCAAAAACCAUAGAUAAUGACAUACCGGUUAUUGACAGGUCCUUUGGUUUUGAUACCGCGGUUGAGGAAGCCCAACGUGCCAUUAAUGCAGCCCAUGUUGAAGCUGGAAGUAUUGAGAAUGGUAUUGGUGUUGUAAAACUAAUGGGACGCUACAGUGGUUUCAUUGCUCAGUAUGCUACUCUUGCCAGCUGUGAUGUGGACUGUUGCUUGAUUCCUGAGUCUCCCUUCUAUCUUGAAGGAAAGAAUGGUCUUUUUGAAUAUAUCGAAAAACGGCUUAAAGAAAAUGGGCAUAUGGUUAUUGUGAUGGCAGAGGGAGCAGGACAGGAUCUUCUUUCAGAGAGCCUGCAAUUCAUGAACUUGGAAGAUGCUUCGGGGAACAAGCUACUCCAAGAUGUUGGGCUAUGGAUAUCUCAGAGGAUCAAGGAUCAUUUUGUAAGACAGCGUAAGAUGGUCAUUAAUCUUAAAUAUAUAGAUCCUACAUACAUGAUCCGGGCAAUUCCAGGCAAUGCUUCUGACAAUGUCUACUGCACUCUUCUUGCUCAAAGUGCAGUUCAUGGAGCAAUGGCUGGAUAUACAGGCUUCACUGUUGGGCCUGUCAAUGGCAGACAUGCUUAUAUUCCUUUCACACGUGUCAAUGAGAAGCAAAACAAGGUUGUGAUUACUGACAGGAUGUGGGCAAGACUCCUCGCUUCGACCAACCAGCCAAGCUUUCUGCACCCAAAAGAUGUUACUGAAGUCAAUGAAGAGGAAGUGCCGCAAACCCAAUUGUUGGACGGGUAGAAUAAAUUGUAAGGGUCCCAAGUCACUGACUAAAAGCAUUCCUAGUUUGUCAUAAACGGACCGGACUCCUAUCUGUUAUAACCUGGAGCUACUUUGAGUUUGUGAGGUUAUGUGCUUGUUGUAUAAGAAAAAUCUCAUUUCAAUUUGCUUGGGAAGAUCCAAAAUGGUUUAUACAUGUUCCAAUCUGCUUCCUUGAAGUGUGUGGACGGAAAUUGGUGUUUCCUGUAAUGUAUAGCCCCUAUGCUUUCUGUAAAAUAAAUUUUUGUAGUGCCAA